rnacentral:rRNA from 1 species
AUGCCUACGGGGGGCAGCAGUGAGGAAUAUUGGUCAAUGGCCGAGAGGCUGAACCAGCCAAGUCGCGUGAGGGAUGACGGCCCUACGGGUCGUAAACCUCUUUUGCCGGGGAGCAAGGGCCGGGACGCGUCCCGGCCCGGAGAGUACCCGGAGAAAAAGCAUCGGCUAACUCCGUGCCAGCAGCCGCGGUAAUACGGAGGAUGCGAGCGUUAUCCGGAUUUAUUGGGUUUAAAGGGUGCGUAGGCGGGCUUUUAAGUCAGCGGUAAAAAUUCGGGGCUCAACCCCGUCCGGCCGUUGAA